rnacentral:rRNA from 1 species
UACGGAGGGUGCGAGCGUUGUCCGGAAUCACUGGGCGUAAAGGGCGCGUAGGCGGCCUGGUAAGUAGGGGGGUGAAAUCCUGCGGCUUAACCGCAGGGCUGCCUUCUAAACUGUCAGGCUCGAGCACGGUAGAGGCAGAUGGAAUUCCCGGUGUAGCGGUGGAAUGCGUAGAGAUCGGGAAGAACAUCAGUGGCGAAGGCGGCCUGCUGGGCUGUUGCUGACGCUGAGGCGCGACAGCGUGGGGAGCAAACAGG